GCGGCAGGGCCAGGCCCGCGGGGGCGGAGGAGGGAGCUGCCAGCGCCGGGAGACCUGCCCGUCAGCCCCAGGUUGCCCAAGACUGGGAAGACCCGCGAGAGAGGCCCCCAGAGCAAGCCGUCUGCAGGGGCUGCAAGCAGGCCCCUCUCCGGUGACCCUGGGCGGUCCCUCUCCAGGACGCCCGCUUUGAUCUUAGCUCAGAAAGCAGAAAAACAGAAACCUGGAAACAAGGAGAUCCUGGAAGAAGCCAAGCCCCCAGCUGUGCUAAUAGGUAUGGCUAGGGUCCUCGCCACUAGGGAGUUAGCUUCAUCUAUGGUUCCAGCCCCUUCCUUGCCCACGAGGGCUCUCCUCAGCCAAUGUCCCAGUCCCCAGUUCCGCCUCACUGCUGGGCUGUCCACCACAUCUCCUUCCUGCCUCUUCCUGGGCUUCAUACACUCGCCCCUCCCCCAUCGCCUUCCUUUUAGUAUUCUUGAGCACCUGGGGGUGUGAGGCACAGAGUACACCAGCACAGCCAUAUGGAGCCGCCUCUUCAGGGCAUCACCCGUGUAGUGGAGAGAUAAAGAGCACCAAGUGGCUCGCCUAUGUGCACAGACAGACUCAUAACAGUCCUGGGGGCACAGGUCUCGAGGGCACAGGUGUUAGGACGAUAUUGGGUGGUGUGUACACAGACAUGGUCAGAGUUCCGGGUGGCACAUGUCCUGUGCACCCAGUUAUCACGAUCAUACAGGUUGGCCUGUGGACCAUGCACAGACACCAUGACAGUCCUGGGAGGCAUGUGUCAUUACAGAUACGGUAAGAGUCCUGGUUGGUGUGCGCACACGCGCUGUGUGCAGAUACCAUGGCAGUAGUAGAGAAUCAUGAACCAAAAACUAGGGUUCCAGGUACACUUUCCCUCAAAGAGGGGACAUUUUCCAUAUCCCACACCUCUGUUUUCUCUGAGAUAGAGAAGCAUUGGUAUGACAGUUUCAACAGCCAGCCAAAGACCCUGCCAAAAGGGAAAAGGGUCCAGGUCUUCAGAACCAAUGGCCACCACACAGGGAUCCUUAGACUGAUGCUGCGUUGGCUGAGAAGAACUAUGUGGGGAGAUUUGGGAGGGUAUUGGGGAUUUAACCCAGUGAGACUCAACCCCUAAGUCACAUCCCCAGACCUUUUUAUUUUUUAUUUUGAGACGGAGUCUGGCUAAGUUGCUGGGGCUGAUCUCAAACUUGCAAUUCUCCUGCCUGGGUCUCCUGAGUCACUGGGAUUACAGGCCUGCACCAUGGUGCCCAGCUAUUUGGGGAGUUUUUAAAAAGCCUCAGUUAUGGCCCAUAUGGCCAAAGAUUCACUGUUGCCAGGGAGGAGCUUGGGAGCCUGUGACAAUAGUUCCUGGAUAAAGCAUUCCGCCAGGUUUGGGAACCUCAGCCUCAGUAUCUCUUCUCUCAGCAGCCACCCACUGGGGCGCCACCUCUUAGGAGUAGUCCUGACUUCUCACUGGACUGGGCUGGGCAAUGACAAGGGAGGGAUGGAAGAGGGGAGCCAGACUGGGUGGGUGGCCUAGGGGUGUGUGGGUGACUCAGCCCCACGCCAGCCGCUGGUGGUGUCAGGUGGCAGCCACACUGUUGCCAUGACAACUCCUCCCCCAGAACGCAGGGAGGCCCGCUGAACGAGUUUGUUUGUGCUCAGAGCCACCGAAAGGGAGAGCCCUGGCCGCAGGGAAGGGCAGGGACCCAGGUGGGUGGAGAGCAAACCCUGGAGAAUGGGCUUCGGACAAGACUGCAGUGGGAGAGGACCUGCUUCCGGAAACAGGGGUGAAGGACUCUCCACCACCCGCUUGGGACCAGCCUCCUCCAGUCUCCUCAGCACCUCCAAUGGUCCUCCCCUGACCUCACCUGCCAGGGCCUUGAUUCGAGACCUCUCAAAAAGGCGAGCCGAGCUGCUGUCAUUGUCCCAGUCUGAGUCGGGCAGGUCCCAGCGGUUGUUGAUGUCACUGUACUGGCCCUGGAUUUCCAAGCUGUCGAAGUCUGUGGGUGACAGAGUGCUGCUCAUGGUGGUGGGUGGCUUCCUGCUCCUGCAAGAAGAUGAAGCUGGUGAAGGGCAUCUCCGGGCCUCUGGACCUCACCCUCAUCGUGUCCUUCCUUCCCUAGCUCUGCCAUUGCUCUCCUCAAGGCCAGGGGUGGGUUGUUUGUUUUAGUUUGUGAAAAUUGGUCCCCAGGGGGAGAGGGGAAGCCACCAUGAGGGAUAGGAAUGUGGAGAGACUGAACAUGGCAGAUGGCCUGUGGAGGGAGGCAGGAGGGUAGCACACGAGUCUGCACAGGGUAGACAGGAAGGGCUUCAAGGGCUCAGCCGAGGGAGGGCAGGGCAGAGCUGGGGGCUGAAGGUGGCCCUGAGCUUAGCAUGUGUCAGAAUGGCAGUGUGUGGAGUGGUGUGAGGCAGACAGCGGGUGUGAGUCCCCUUGGGUAGUAAUGAGUGGAAAGUAGAGUUCUUCCCUCCCCACUUCUCCUGUUCUGAGCCUUCUGCCUCCUGUAGGCUACUGAAGAUGGAGAGACCCAGCUUCUGCUCUGGUCUACCACAUCUACCACAGAUCCUCUAGAUGGACUGAUGAGCUGAUAGGCAAGUAGGGACCAAGUACCUCAGAGUUCAAAGAAGGACACAGUACAGUUCUCUCCCUUUAUAUCCUUUUGUUUGCUAUAAAGAAUGCUUAAUAUGUGCUCCAUGAAUGUCAGCUGUGCUACAUGCUCCUGCUGUUCACAUGCAUCUCCUCAUCACAACCCCCAGUGGGGCCAGGGUCCAUGGCUGUCCCCAUUUCAUAGAUGAGAAAGCAGCACCACAGAAAUAAGCCACUGGUUCAAGGUCACACAGCUGAAAGGACCACCAAGGGUUGUAUUGUUAUUAGUGGAUUUUUUUGUUUUUUGGUACUGGGGAUUGAACCCAGGGGUGCUUAACCACUGAGUCACACCCUCGGCCAUUUUUUAUUUUUUAUUUUGAGACAGGGUCUUACUAAGUUGCUGAAGGUCUUGCCAAGUUGCUGAGACUAGCCUUGAACUCAUGGUCCUCCUGUCUCAGCCUCCUAAAUUGCUGGGAUUACAGGCAUGUGCCAUGGCACCUGGCACCACCAAGGUUUGGAAGCAAAAUUCUUUCUCUUAAUUACAGUCUCUGAGAUAGAGAUUUACAGGUUCUCUGACCGACCUGGAGCCUAUUAGUGUGGUGGGUUAUUAGCACUCACCACAGCACUCUAGGGCCUGGCUGGGAAACCUGGAUCAUGUAUGCUGCCAGCAUUAUUUAUGACCUUAACCAAACACAUUUUGUCCUCAAACCUAACAAAUGAGCAUGGGAUCAGUUGCUGGGGACUUUUUUUUUUUUUUUUUUUUAAUUUAAUGAGUAUUGUUCAAAGUUCUUGUGUAACAUGACGCUCGGCAGCCAUUCAAGAGAAUGGUGGUGGGGGGUGGGGGAACGGUGUCUGUAACUUUAACAAAAUGCCAAAUUCUACAUUUCUCAUUUUUCUAGUACCUCUUGAAUAUGAAGACAUUUUAAUCCUGAGCUCUACUUCCUGGGACCAGGGCUGUGAACUUGGCCAUCUCUGGUUCUGGGAAGGAAGGAGGUAAGGAGAACCUCUUCUGUGGUUUGGGGAAGGAAAAAGGAAUGGGUAGUGAGACUGGGGUGGCUGGGAAGGUUUGUUCCCAAGGGCACGCAAAGGCAGAACUUGGCUUCUAUCAUUACCUGGUUCCACGAAGCUGAACCUGACCUGCUUGAAGGGCAGGGCUGCCAGCCCCUCCCCUUUCCUUGCACAUCAGGAUUUCCCUGGGAGUAGCCUUAAUGAGGUGUGAGGGAGCUCAGGUCUAAGGUCCCUCAAUUGGGGCUUUUCAAUCCCUGUAGCAGAACAGGGAACUUAAUUUCCAUUAGGCCUAGGACUCCUGCCCCAUCAUUUCCCCCAACAGAUUCUUCUGGAUUUGCUCUGUAAAUAUUUAUAUAAAAGUAAAUUCCAGGGCAGAGGUGAAUCACCCCGAGCAAAGAGCACUGUGGGCCAGGCACGACCUGAGCUAGUCACCUAACACUCUUAGUUGCUGGAUGGCAAAGCAGUCCCGUCCCAGCCCUUCAGGUUAGGGAAUUCCGACCAGCAGCCACUGUCACACUUAGCUCUGGGAAGGGGACUUCCAGCUCUCAACCCAUGCAGAGACCCUUACACAAAAACACCAACAUCUGAAGACCCCUGAGGGUCAGUGUAUAUGACCUUGUCCCUCUUACCAGGAGUCACAAACUCACUGAAGCCAGUCCCCAGGAGUGUUUUGUUUGGCCAACAUUGGCUUUAAAAUAACUGAUUUUGGAUUCUUUCAGGUGGGAUUGGUUCUACCUUCUCCACAGACCUCACCAUUCCCUUUUGCUCCUGUGCAAAUAUGAUUUACAUAUUUAUGUUACCCUCCUGGCCCCUGAAGGCCCCUGAGGUUUUCAAACCAUUAUCACGUGUCUUUGUACUCCACAAAGAGCAGACACUUAAGGGAAGCAAGUUUUUGACUGCUGUCUCUAAGCCAGUGUGUUCCCCAGACCUCCAAAAGCCUCAUGAACCCAAACACGCACUGUUCUUGCUUGUUUUUGGUGACCCAACUUGGUCCUUCCAAGGACCUACCAGGGUCCAGGCAUAGGAUUCAGACCUUCCAGGGGAGGCCUGGCUGGUACAAAUUCUCUGUGGAAUCCCAUCAUUUGGGGGAGAAAACCUGAAACUGGAACCUCCUCCUGUCAAAGUUCAGUCAGGGACAUCUGUGCUUUGCAACCUGAGUUUCCAAGAAUGCCAUGAUAUGGAUAAGGAACCAAGACAGCACUAUGGGGGGUCAGAGAUCUCCUUAGUAGCAUUGUGCUGUAACUCCAGAGACUUCCUGAGAAUGCUGUUCAUCACUGUGGCUCUGAGGCCCUGUCUCUGCGCCUUGAAAAUUGCGUUCUCUGAGCAUUCCAACUCUGCAGCCUCCGAGUUUUUUGAACAAUAUGUUCUCUGUCAGUGUCCCCGGCUGCCAUCUCCAGAUUCCUAUAGUUUUCUGUUUGAAUUUCUCCUACCCAGAUCCUGCUCUGGUUCCCUUUCACUGGCACCAUUCAUAGAGCACCAUUCCUUGCCUGUGACCUGAGACUCUAUGCUCAUAGGCUGCUGGGGAGCUCCCCCAGCCUCAUAACCCCCCGUCUCUCCCUAUACCCUUUUCUCAGAGGAUUCCUGAACUCUGGCAAUAGGGUGGUGCAGCAACUAAUCCAGAUUACAAUUUGUCCAAUCCCUUAUUCUUAGCCACUGACCUCUAGCUGGGCCCAAGUAGCUUAUAUUGUUAGUGUCAGAACAAUGUCAACUUCCGCCAGAUGCAGGCUUGGGGUGCUGCGGGAACUUACACCCAAGCACUGUGGGAUGCACACUCUGCUCAGCUGGGUACAUGUGGGGCUUCUAGGGCAGCUGUCUUCCCUCCCCCUCUUCUCUCGUUUUAGCUGGUGUAUAAAGCUAGAAAUCCUGCCCCCAGGCUAGAAGCUAUCUUGUACUCUAAUUCUUCCUCUCACCUUAUCCUGCUUCUGCUUAACUCUUUUCCUCUCUCAGAGACAGUUGAUGGGUCCAAUUCUGUGCUCCGCACAGCAUUUCAGCUGCAGCUAUGGCUGCGUUUAUCACAUUAUAUCAGUUGUUUAUGUUUCUCUCUGCUGGCUCCAAUUUUAACUCAUUGAGGGCUGGGUCUUAACUUCUUUUUGUUUGGGGGGCCCAGCAGAAUAGGUAUUCAAUAAAGAGACAUUGAA